rnacentral:rRNA from 1 species
GACGAACGCUGGCGGCGUGCUUAACACAUGCAAGUCGAACGGGCCUGUCUUCUUUUUUGGGGGUGGGUUGAGUGGCGAACGGGUGAGUAUCACGUGAGUAACCUGCCCUUCGGUCCUGGAUAACCGCUUGAAAGGGCGGCUAAUACGGGGUGGUCCGGUUGGUCCGCAUGGGCUGGUCGGGAUAGAUUCACUGUUUUUGGUGUUUCGGCGGGGGAUGGGCUCGCGGCCUAUCAGCUUGUUGGUGGGGUGAUGGCCUACCAAGGCGGUGACGGGUAGCCGGCCUGGGAGGGUGGGCGGCCACACUGGGACUGAGAUACGGCCCAGACUCCUGCGGGAGGCAGCAGUGGGGGGUAUUGCACAAUGGGCGGAAGCCUGAUGCAGCGACGUCGCGUGAGGGAUGGAGGCCUUCGGGUUGUGAACCUCUGUUUUCGGUGGUGAAGGCCCUGUCCGUGUGGUGGGGUUGACGGUAGCCGGGGAUGAAGCGCCGGCUAACUACGUG